rnacentral:rRNA from 1 species
AUUGAACGCUGGCGGCAGGCCUAACACAUGCAAGUCGAACGGUAACAGGAAGAAGCUUGCUUCUUUGCUGACGAGUGGCGGACGGGUGAGUAAUGUCUGGGAAACUGCCUGAUGGAGGGGGAUAACUACUGGAAACGGUAGCUAAUACCGCAUAACGUCGCAAAACCAAAGAGGGGGACCUUCGGGCCUCUUGCCAUCGGAUGUGCCCAGAUGGGAUUAGCUAGUAGGUGGGGUAACGGCUCACCUAGGCGACGAUCCCUAGCUGGUCUGAGAGGAUGAACAGCCACACUGGAACUGAGACACGGUCCAGACUCCUACGGGAGGCAGCAGUGGGGAAUAUUGCACAAUGGGCGCAAGCCUGAUGCAGCCAUGCCGCGUGUAUGAAGAAGGCCUUCGGGUUGUAAAGUACUUUCAGCGGGGAGGAAGGGAGUAAAGUUAAUACCUUUGCUCAUUGACGUUACCCGCAGAAGAAGCACCGGCUAACUCCGUG